AGCAGCCGCGGUAAUUCCAGCUCCAAUAGCGUAUAUUAAAGUUGUUGCAGUUAAAAAGCUCGUAGUUGAAUUUCGAGACCGGCUUACUGGUCGUGCUAUUGUACGUACUGGUAUAAUCGGUUUCUCCUUUCUGACGAACUAUAAUGCCAUUAAUUUGGCGUUUUAGGGAAUCAGGACUGUUACUUUGAAAAAAUUAGAGUGUUUAAAGCAGGCUCACGCUUGAAUACAUUAGCAUGGAAUAACGGAAUAGGACGUUUGAUUCUAUUUUGUUGGUUUCUAGGAUCGACGUAAUGAUUAAUAGGGAUAGUUGGGGGCAUUAGUAUUCAAUUGUCAGAGGUGAAAUUCUUGGAUUUAUUGAAGACUAACUACUGCGAAAGCAUUUGCCAAGGAUGUUUUCAUUAAUCAAGAACGAAAGUUAGGGGAUCGAAGACGAUCAGAUACCGUCGUAGUCUUAACCAUAAACUAUGCCGACUAGGGAUCGGAUGAUGUUAAUUUUUAAUGACUCAUUCGGCGCCUUACG
rnacentral:rRNA from 1 species